ACUGCUCAGUAACACGUAGCUAACCUACCCUCGGGACGGAGACAACCCCGGGAAACUGGGGCUAAUCCCCGAUAGGCGUGGAGGCCUGGAAUGGUUCCACGCCCAAAGGUCUGCGCGCCCAUGUCGCGCGCCGACGCCCGAGGAUGGGGCUGCGGCCGAUCAGGCUGUUGGUGAGGUAAAGGCUCACCAAACCUUUGACCGGUACGGGCCGUGAGAGCGGUAGCCCGGAGAUGGGCACUGAGACAAGGGCCCAGGCCCUACGGGGCGCAGCAGGCGCGAAGCCUCCACAAUGCACGCAAGUGCGAUGGGGCUACCUCGAGUGCCGCCUGAAGAAGGCGGCUUUUCCACGGUGUAAUGAGCCGUGGGAAUAAGAGGGGGGCAAGACUGGUGUCAGCCGCCGCGGUAACACCAGACCCUCGAGUUGUGGGGACGUUUAUUUGGCCUAAAGCGUCCGUAGCCGGCCCGGUAAGUCCCUCGUUAAAUCCAGCGUCCCAAGCGCUGGGCCGCGAGGGAGACUGCCAGGCUAGAGGGUGGAAGAAGUCAGCGGUAUUCCUGGGGUAGGGGCGAAAUCCUUUGAUCCCAGGAGGACCACCAGUGGCGAAGGCUGCUGACUAGUACACGCCUGACGGUCAGGGACGAAAGCUGGGGGAGCGAAUCGGAUUAGAUACCCGAGUAGUCCCAGCCGUAAACGAUGCAGGCUAGGUGUUGGGGCGGCCACGCGCCGCCUCAGUGCCACAGGGAAGCCAUUAAGCCUGCCGCCUGGGGAGUACGGCCGCAAGGCUGAAACUUAAAGGAAUUGGCGGGGGAG
rnacentral:rRNA from 1 species